rnacentral:rRNA from 1 species
AUUGAACGCUGGCGGCAUGCUUUACACAUGCAAGUCGAACGGCAGCGGGGGCUUCGGCCUGCCGGCGAGUGGCGAACGGGUGAGUAAUGCAUCGGAACGUACCCAGUCAUGGGGGAUAACUACGCGAAAGCGUAGCUAAUACCGCAUACGCCCUGAGGGGGAAAGCGGGGGAUCGCAAGACCUCGCGUGAUUGGAGCGGCCGAUGUCGGAUUAGCUAGUUGGUGGGGUAAAGGCCUACCAAGGCGACGAUCCGUAGCGGGUCUGAGAGGAUGAUCCGCCACACUGGGACUGAGACACGGCCCAGACUCCUACGGGAGGCAGCAGUGGGGGAAUUUUGGACAAUGGGGGCAACCCUGAUCCAGCCAUGCCGCGUGAGUGAAGAAGGCCUUC